GUGGGGAAUAUUGCACAAUGGGCGGAAGCCUGAUGCAGCAACGCCGCGUGCGGGAUGACGGCCUUCGGGUUGUAAACCGCUUUCGCCUGUGACGAAGCGUGAGUGACGGUAAUGGGUAAAGAAGCACCGGCUAACUACGUGCCAGCAGCCGCGGUGAUACGUAGGGUGCGAGCGUUGUCCGGAUUUAUUGGGCGUAAAGGGCUCGUAGGUGGUUGAUCGCGUCGGAAGUGUAAUCUUGGGGCUUAACCCUGAGCGUGCUUUCGAUACGGGUUGACUUGAGGAAGGUAGGGGAGAAUGGAAUUCCUGGUGGAGCGGUGGAAUGCGCAGAUAUCAGGAGGAACACCAGUGGCGAAGGCGGUUCUCUGGGCCUUUCCUGACGCUGAGGAGCGAAAGCGUGGGGAGCGAACAGG
rnacentral:rRNA from 2 species